GGCAGUGUGGCUCAUUGGUAGAGUGCCUGCCUUGCUAGCAGGAAGCUUGUGUUCAAACCUCAGUACUGCAA
rnacentral:tRNA from 1 species